rnacentral:rRNA from 1 species
CGGGCUCUUUCGGGAGCUAGUGGCGGACGGGUGAGUAACGCGUGAGGAUCUGCCUACAGGACCGGGACAACAGCUGGAAACGGCUGCUAAAACCGGAUGUGCCGAGAGGUGAAAUAUUUAUAGCCUGUAGAUGAGCUCGCGUCUGAUUAGCUAGUUGGUAGUGUAAUGGACUACCAAGGCGACGAUCAGUAGCUGGUCUGAGAGGACGAUCAGCCACACUGGGACUGAGACACGGCCCAGACUCCUACGGGAGGCAGCAGUGGGGAAUUUUCCGCAAUGGGCGCAAGCCUGACGGAGCAAUACCGCGUGAGGGAGGAAGGUCUGUGGAUUGUAAACCUCUUUUGAUAGGGAAGAAGUUCUGACGGUACCUAUCGAAUCAGCAUCGGCUAACUCCGUGCCAGCAGCCGCGGUAAUACGGAGGAUGCAAGCGUUAUCCGGAAUUAUUGGGCGUAAAGCGUCCGUAGGUGGUUAAUCAAGUCUAUUGUCAAAGCCUGGGGCUUAACCCUGGAGAGGCGGUGGAAACUGGUUGACUGGAGUGCGGUAGGGGCAGAGGGAAUUCCCAGUGUAGCGGUGAAAUGCGUAGAUAUUGGGAAGAACACCGGUGGCGAAAGCGCUCUGCUGGGCCUGCACUGACACUGAGGGACGAAAGCUAGGGGAGCGA